rnacentral:rRNA from 1 species
GAUUAACGCUGGCGGCGUGCAUAACACAUGCAAGUCGAACGAAGUGGCGGACGGGUGAGUAACGCGUGAGUAACCUGCCUUAGAGAAGGGGAUAGCCUUUGGAAACGAAGAAUAAUACCCUAUGGUCUAAGAUGGAAGUGCGUGUGAUUAGUUAGUUUGUGGGGUAACGGCCCACACAGGCAGCGAACAGUAGCCGGCUUGAGAGAGUGUACGGUCACAUUGGGACUGAGACACGGCCCAGACUCUACGGUAGGCAGCAGUGGGGAAUUUUGCACAAUGGGGGAGACCCUGAUGCAGCGACGCCGCGUGAUUUAGAAGGCCUUCGGGUUGUAAAAAUCUUUUCUAUGGGAAGCGGUACCAUAGGAAUAAGGACCGGCUAAUUACGUGCCAGCAGCCGCGGUAAUUC